rnacentral:lncRNA from 1 species
AGUGCUUGUCUUGCAUGCAUGGGGCACUGGGUUCCAUCCUCAGUACCACAUAGAUAAUAAAAUAAAGGUAUUGUGCCUAUCUACAACUUAACAAAAAGUCUUAAAACAACAACAACAACAUCAACACUAUUUAGGGCCAGGGGUGGUGUGUAGCUCAGUAAUAGAGGGCAAGAAGCCCUGUGUUCAGUCCCCAGCACCACACACACACACACACACAAACAACAACAAACACCACAACAACUUUUUCCUCAAGAUUUUGCCCAUCUGUAGGAAGUUAUGGUUCUUUAUUGAUAUUCUGAGAGUUGUAUUCUGAACAGGAGACCUAAUUCCCUUAGUUGUUUUUUUUUUUUUUUUAACCAGAUUGGUUUACUUUUGCUAGGAACAAUGAGAGAUUUUUUAUUUUUAUUUUUUUAAGGUUCUGCCUUGAUUACAGUUUUUAUCCCCUUCCUGGGACUCUGAUAAGGGAAAGUGAGAAGAACCAGGUAGGAAGGAGACACAGUAUUGAAUGCACAGGCCUCCCUGACCCCAGGCUAGGACCUUAGUGGCAGCUUGGCUGAACUUUGGGGACCCUGCAAAGACUUGGGUGUAUCCAGUGAACAAGCCAUGCAUUUACCAAGCACCCUGUCCUCUUUCUUCUACAUGGAGGACUCAACCCCAUUUAUUUCAGGACUUUCUAAAGAAGAAUGAGCUGCACUGGACAUUACCAGCUAAUUACUGGUAGAGAGGAAACUUUCUCUCAAAGAAAUGAACUCUCCUUGUGCUAACUAGGCUUCUCUCCUAACCCUUGGUAGGCCCAGGAGAAUUCUGGGGCCCCAUCUGUGUCUGCAAAGUCUUUUACACAUUUCGUGCAGUGCUCAGUAGCUUUUUUGAUUAAGUUUAUUUUAUACUCUGAGUCUGUCAAGGAGAGGUGCUUAGCUUGUUGCUGAAAGGGGCAGGGACUGGUGUAUAAAUAAUGAGAACUCAGAGAGACUCGUGUUAUUAACAGCUCUGCUCCAGUAAGGCAGAGUUUAUUGUGUCAUUGCCUCUGGGUGUGUUUUCCUGUGAAGGCCAGAAAUAAAACACUGGUACAAGUCUUUUUUUUUCUCCUAGGAGGAUGGUAACUUUCAUUAAUACUAAAGAGAGGUUUAAAGAAUCUCUCUUUGAUAAUUGUUUGUUAUAUGAUGUGUUUGGUGUGAAGAAGGUUGACCAUUUUCCUUUGGACCUUACCAUUGAGCCAAAAGAAAGUGAGGGCCUGACUUGGUUUCCCCCCCAGGUUGUGUGAUGAAGGGCAAGUUACAAUCCUGAAGACCUCUCUUUUCCUCCUCUUGGGUCCCAUUCAGCUUUCAGUCCUCUCUACAUAUGAUUUCCUCAUGCCUAUAUGUUCUUUGGUGCAGACCACGUAUCUUUUUUUGUGUGUGCAAUGAUGGAGAUUGAACCCAAGGCCUCACGCAUGCUCUGCCUUGAGCCACAUCCCCAUCCCCAAACCACAUAUCAUUCUUGGUGAUACUUUACUGUGUGUCUGACAUUUACUAAUGUGCUAGAAUGUAUCCCAUAAUGAGUUAUAUGCAACCCUCCACUGGGAUAAAGGAUUGGAAAUUGUAGGUCUUCAAGCAGAGUCCAGUCUGCAUACACACUGCUGGCUGGUGCCAUGUUUUAUAAAGAGUUGAAUUUGCACACCUCUUAGUGGGGAAAGCACUCUUCAGGAGACCAUGGAUUUCAUUGCAACCUGUGAUUGAACGCAAUUGGUGCUGGACUCAUUUUAUUAUGUGCCUUGAUCCUGAAGAUAUUUGAAUUUACAAACUCUACUACUAUAUAAGUGUCAUGGUUCAGAUCUGGAUUGUCCCUUAAAAACUCAUGUGCGGAAGACUUGGUCACCAACAUGGCAAUAUUCAGAGUUGGGGAUUUUGAUAAGUGACUGGAGCAUGAGGGCUCUGACCUCAUCAGUGGAUUAAUCCAUUGAUAGCUAAAUGGACUACUGAGAGGUGGUAGAAACUGUAGGCUGGGAGGGCAUGAAGGAGGAAGUAGGUCAUUGGGGCAUGCCCUGAGGGACUAUAUCCUGUCCCUGGCAUGGUAUAUGUUUCUCUCUCUCUCUCUCUCUCUCUCAGCUGCCAUGAGUUGAUCAACUUUCCUAUGCCAUGAUGUUUCCUGCCUCAGAACCAGCCAACCAUGGUCUGAAAACAUGAGCCAAAAUAAACCUUCCCUCCAUUAAAUUGUUUAUGUCAGAUAUUUUGGUCACAGUGAUGAAAAGCUGACUAACACAUCAGGUAGAGUUCCAAAUCUUCUGAUCGAGAUCAGUGACCAGACAGCUUUCUGAGAAGGGUCAGAUAGUAAAUAUUUUCAGCUCUUCAGGCCAUACAGUUUCUGUCACAACUGCUCAACACUGCUGUGGUUGAGAGAACAGCCACAGAUAAUAGUUGAACUAGUUGUGUGUGAGCUUUUUUUCAGUAAAACUUU